CUGGCUCUGAAUCAAGGCCAGCAGUUUGCUGAGGCGGUUGGUUUCAAGUCAGUGCCUAAAUAAAUAUCUUUCUAUGGUCUGUUGUCCAUCUCAGAAAUUUAAAAAUGUAAUGGUCAAUUCAUUAGAAAGAAACAUCU
ensembl:snoRNA